CGGGAAGUAAUGUCUGGGAAACUGCCUGAUGGAGGGGGGUAGCUACUGGAAACGGUAGCUAAUACCGCAUAACGUCUUCGGACCAAAGUGGGGGACCUUCGGGCCUCACGCCAUCGGAUGUGCCCAGAUGGGAUUAGCUAGUAGGUGGGGUAAUGGCUCACCUAGGCGACGAUCCCUAGCUGGUCUGAGAGGAUGACCAGCCACACUGGAACUGAGACACGGUCCAG
rnacentral:rRNA from 1 species